rnacentral:rRNA from 1 species
GACGAACGCUGGCGGCGUGCUUAACACAUGCAAGUCGAACGGAAAGGCCCUGCUUGCAGGGUACUCGAGUGGCGAACGGGUGAGUAACACGUGGGUGAUCUGCCCUGCACUUCGGGAUAAGCCUGGGAAACUGGGUCUAAUACCGGAUAGGAGCCAUUUUUAGUGUGAUGGUUGGAAAGUUUUUUCGGUGUAGGAUGAGCUCGCGGCCUAUCAGCUUGUUGGUGGGGUAAUGGCCUACCAAGGCGGCGACGGGUAGCCGGCCUGAGAGGGUGGACGGCCACAUUGGGACUGAGAUACGGCCCAGACUCCUACGGGGGGCAGCAGUGGGGAAUAUUGCACAAUGGGCGCAAGCCUGAUGCAGGGACGCCGCGUGGGGGAUGACGGCCUUCGGGUUGUAAACUCCUUUCGCUAGGGACGAAGCUUUUUGUGACGGUACCUAGAUAAGAAGCACCGGCUAACUACGUG